rnacentral:rRNA from 1 species
UACGUAGGGUGCGAGCGUUAAUCGGAAUUACUGGGCGUAAAGCGUGCGCAGGCGGUUUGCUAAGACAGGUGUGAAAUCCCCGGGCUUAACCUGGGAACUGCGCUUGUGACUGGCUGGCUAGAGUACGGCAGAGGGGGGUGGAAUUCCUGGUGUAGCAGUGAAAUGCGUAGAUAUCAGGAGGAACACCGAUGGCGAAGGCAGCCCCCUGGGCCUGUACUGACGCUCAUGCACGAAAGCGUGGGGAGCAAACAGGAUUAGAUA